UACGGAGGGGGCUAGCGUUGUUCGGAAUUACUGGGCGUAAAGCGCACGUAGGCGGCUUUGCAAGUCAGAGGUGAAAGCCCGGAGCUCAACUCCGGAACUGCCUUUAAGACUGCAUCGCUAGAAUUGUGGAGAGGUGAGUGGAAUUCCGAGUGUAGAGGUGAAAUUCGUAGAUAUUCGGAAGAACACCAGUGGCGAAGGCGACUCACUGGACACAUAUUGACGCUGAGGUGCGAAAGCGUGGGGAGCAAACAG
rnacentral:rRNA from 1 species